UAUUCCCGAGUUGAUACACAUCCAAGUCUUUGCAUGAAGUUUGCAACUGAGGACAACAUCUGGGUUAAAUGCCCAUUCAAUCAUGGACAAUUUCAAGCUUGGAAAAUGCGACUUGCUGUGAUAGAACAACAAAUAGAAGUUUCUUUCAUGUCACAUUUUGAAGCAGAGUUUUCAGUACUUGUAUGUAACAGGACCAACUUGCAUUCAUGCAACUCUACUGGGACCCUCAAAGCCUUU